rnacentral:misc_RNA from 1 species
UCCGGCUUAUCACCGGCAGUCCCCCUAGAGUGCCCAACUGAAUGAUGGCGACUAGGAGCGAGGGUUGCGCUCGUUGCGGGACUUAACCCAACAUCUCACGACACGAGCCGACGACAGCCAUGCACCACCUGUGAACGCCCCCGAAGGACACCAUAUCUCUACGGCUUUAGCGCACAUGUCAAACCCAGGUAAGGUUCUUCGCGUUGCAUCGAAUUAAUCCGCAUGCUCCGCCGCUUGUGCGGGCCCCCGUCAAUUCCUUUGAGUUUUAGCCUUGCGGCCGUACUCCCCAGGCGGGGCGCUUAAUGCGUUAGCUGCGGCACAGAGAACCGGAGAGGCCCCCCACACCUAGCGCCCAACGUUUACAGCGUGGACUAC